rnacentral:rRNA from 1 species
AUUGAACGCUGGCGGCACGCUUUACACAUGCAAGUCGAACGGUAACAGGGUGCUUGCACCGCUGACGAGUGGCGAACGGGUGAGUAAUGCGUCGGAACGUGCCGAGUAGUGGGGGAUAACGCAGCGAAAGUUGUGCUAAUACCGCAUACGUACUGAGGUAGAAAGUGGGGGACCUUCGGGCCUCGCGCUAUUCGAGCGGCCGACGUCUGAUUAGCUAGUAGGUGAGGUAAAGGCUCACCUAGGCGACGAUCAGUAGCGGGUCUGAGAGGAUGAUCCGCCACACUGGGACUGAGACACGGCCCAGACUCCGACGGGAGGCAGCAGUGGGGAAUUUUGGACAAUGGGCGAAAGCCUGAUCCAGCCAUGCCGCGUGUCUGAAGAAGGCCUUCGGGUUGUAAAGGACUUUUGUCGGGGAGGAAAUCCCCAGCGUUAAUACCGCUGGGGGAUGACAGUACCUGAAGAAUAAGCACCGGCUAACUACGUGCCAGCAGCCGCCGUAAGAC